rnacentral:rRNA from 1 species
CCUACGGGAGGCAGCAGUGAGGAAUAUUGGUCAAUGGGCGAGAGCCUGAAGCAGCCAAGCCGCGUGAAGGAUGGAGGACCUAUGGGUUGUAAAGUUCUUUUAUCAGGGAAUAAAGAGAAGUACGUGUUGCUUUUUGUAUGUACCUUACGAAUAAGCAUCGGCUAACUCCGUGCCAGCAGCCGCGGUAAUACGGAGGAUGAGAGCGUUAUACGGAUUUAUUGGGUUUAAGGGGUGCGUAGGUGGUUAAUUAAGUCAGCGGUGAAAGUUUGUGGCUCAACCAUAAAAUUGCCGUUGAAACUGGUUGACUUGAGUAUAUUUGAGGUAGGCGGAAUGCGUGGUGUAGCGGUGAAAUGCAUAGAUAUCACGCAGAACUCCGAUUGCGAAGGCAGCUUACUAAGCUAUAACUGACACUGAAGCACGAAAGCGUGGGGAUCAAACAGGAUUAGAUACCCCUGUAGUC